AUGGACAACCAGCCGGGGCGCGCCGUCGUCCUCGGCGCGGAGUUCCGGAACUUCGUCCAGGGCAAUCUCUCCAUCGCCGAAUACAGCCGGCGGCUGAAGACCCUGGCCGACGCACUCGAGGACGUCGGCGAGCACAUCUCCGAUCAGGCCCUGACGCUACAGCUCAUCCGCGGCCUGAACCGCAAGUUACAGAUCAUGGCGACACUUCUUCCCAUGCAGUCGCCCUUCCCCUCCUUCGUGCAGGCGCGUUCCCGUCUUCUCAUGGAGGAGAUUUCCGCGAACGAGAGGGCGCGGUUGGAUGGCCGUCCAGAACUCCUGGCUGCGGCGCUCACCAUCGGGCAGGCGCCGCUUGGCGGCUCCUCCGCUGAUCGCGGCCCUGACCGUGGCGGCUCCUCCAACGACAAGGGCAAAGGCCCUGCUGCUUCCCCAACCAGCGACAACAGAGGCCCACACGGGCAUGGUCGCGGCCGCGGCCGCGGUGGCCAGUCGUUCGGUGGCGGCCCUGCCGGCCGUGCCGCGCCUCCCUCCGGCCCAGCCUCACAGAUCUCCACGGGCUACUUUGCUCCCUACGGCGCCCUCAUUCCCGGCCUGCCUGCACCCCGUGCACCGUGGGCCGCCCCCAACGCCGCCGGCGUUCUAGGCCCGCGACCUCCUGCACCUCACCAGGCGUACCCGGUGGCCGCCCCUUCAUCGAGCGGGCCGACCUGGGAGCAGUACAACCAGCUAUAA
rnacentral:rRNA from 1 species